GAAGGGGGACUGACGACCAAUAAAUCAGGUGUUUCCUCCUGCAGAGUAAGUCACCUACUGUGAUCAAUAAGAAGCAGAAGAAAGAAGUUCUCUUGUUUGCAUGAGCUGCAGACUAAUAUUCCCUUCUGUCAGUUUUGUACCUUUUCUCUCAGCAAAGAAUGACUGGGGAUGAAAAACAAAAAAACCACCACCAACAACAACAAAACCCCUCAAAACUUCUGCCCCUCUCCAAGAAACAGCAACACAAGGAAAAAGAUCUCACCUCCCGAGCUCCCCUCCCAACCCCCAGACAACACAAGCGCUCCAAGAGCUAACUGGAUGGCAUCGCAGCCAGCAACUACUCUCCAGCAGUACCCGGCGACACUCUAGUACAGGCAGCGGAUCAGCUCUGCAGUGCACCACCAGCAGCCCACAGGGCGAUUUCUCCAACCCAGCCUCUGAUCUACGUGAGGCCGGUCACCGGAGGAUCCCAGCCUGGUAUGCACAGCCCGGAUAACAACUCCAGCACAGCAAAGCAGCCAACCAGCCCGAGCUGGCAACUGAAAUGACUCUUUUGACAAAGGAGCAGACCCCUGCUAUCCACGGUAAAUUAGCACAGGCAGCUCCACACCUAUGGGCAGGAGGAAAUCCCUGCCUGAUACCGGGAAAUCCCGAGGCUGGUGUCCACCACCUCACAGGAAUUAUUUUGUAAAGCAGUAUGUUCCAACCUGGGGGUCAUGGCCCACAGUAACUUCUUUAUUAUGUUUCUUGCUGCCUGCUUCUUUCUGCAGUGAAUCUACGCCACAAAUCUGACAUUCAGGCACCUACUCCUAUGUGUGGGAGCAAGCAAUAAUAAUGAAAAAGCAUCCAGAAGUUAGCCUAGUUUUUGGAUGGCAGCAGUGCACAAAGAUGGUCUUGGGAAAAAAGAUGAAUGCAUCCUCCCUUGGAGAGGACGGCAUGCUCAGUGGAGAGAGGCUCUCCACCCAAUAUUUAGUACCACAACCCGAGUAUGUUUCCCGAGGUAUUUCCUGGCAGAGGCCAUCCAAGAUGUGACCAGUCUGUGGGAAAGUGAGAGCAGGGCGGAAUUUGGAUUUUAAUGGGGCUGGGGGUCUGCACAUCUGCCACAGCAUCAGCUGAGACACGGCUGCAGUGCACGCCACAGGGCCAGCUGAUGCUGCUGAAGGCAGAGGCCAAGCGCAAUGACAAGACGGGUCCUCUGCAGACAUCCUUCUUUAAUUACCGUGCUUUCAGCCUCCUGCUCCUUCUCCACCCUUCUUUCCUCCCUGGAACACAAAAGGGGAUAAAGAGUGGAACAGCAACUGGCUGUCAAUUGACUCUGGAGGGAAGUUAGACGGAGAGGAGAGGAAGGAAAAUCCGCUCUGAGAUGGCACUUCUGGUCUCCUCUGACCACCAUAGCAGCCUAAGCAAAGCCACCUCCCCCUGCUCCCUCCUCUCCCCUCGGAAAUCCCAGCAGGGACAGGGAUAGCAGCCCGCAGCCGGGAAGGCACAGAAACGCCUCCUGCCAGCUGCAGCAGACCCAGCUGCUGACAGAGGACGUGCUGUUGGACAGGGACCUGCUGGGAGAUGCGCCGGGAGCAGCUGGGGCCGGAUCCUGUCUGCUCCCCAAAUACCCUCCAACAUGGCCCAGAAGAUCACUGCGCUCGGGCCAGCUGAGAACAUACACAGAGCAGAAUGUAAUUUAUUGUGUCCAGCGAUAAACAAA